rnacentral:snoRNA from 1 species
GAGCAUAAAAAGCAUCAAGGCAGCUGGUGUGCUAAACAAACCUUUGGAGGUAAAUUAUCAGCAUGACUUAAUUUUAACCAUCGCUGUCAGUCACCUUCAAACAAGU